rnacentral:rRNA from 1 species
AGUGAACGCUGGCGGUAUGCCUAACACAUGCAAGUCGAACGGCAGCACAGUAAAGACUUGCUCGGACGGGUGGCGAGUGGCUGAGGGGUGAGGGAGACAGCGAAAUGUGCGUUUUCUUGGUGGCUAACGGAGGGAAACUUACGCUAAUACCACAUACAACCUACAGGUGAAAACAGGCAAUCUUCGGACUGUUCACAGUGGUAGGAGCCUAUGUUGGAUUAGCUAGUUGGGGGGGUGAAGGGCCACAAAGGGGACGAUCCGUAGAUGGUCUGAGAGGAUGAUCAGCGACACUGGCACGGGGAAACGGUCCAGACUACUACGGGAGGGAGCAGUCGGGAAUAUUGGACGAUGGGAGCAAGCCUGAACCAGGCAUACCGCGUGGAUGACGAAGGCCUUCGGGUUGUAAAGCCCUUUUGUCGGGAAAGAAAAGAAGAAGGUUAAUACCGCGCUGUUCUGACGGUACCAAACGAAUAAGCACCGGCUAACUUCGUG